ACUGCUCAGUAACACGUGGACAACCUGCCCUUAGGUUGGGUAUAAACCCGGGAAACUGGGUAUAAUACCCGAUAGGUCUCGAUUGCUGGAAUGCAUCGAGAUUUAAAGCUCCGGCGCCUAAGGAUGGGUCUGCGGCCUAUCAGGUAGUAGUGGGUGUAGCGUACCUACUAGCCUACGACGGGUACGGGUUGUGAGAGCAAGAGCCCGGAGAUGGAUUCUGAGACACGAAUCCAGGCCCUACGGGGUGCAGCAGGCGCGAAAACUUUACAAUGCUGGCAACAGCGAUAAGGGAACCUCGAGUGCCAGGUUACAAAUCUGGCUGUCGAGAUGCCUAAAAAGCAUUUCAUAGCAAGGGCCGGGCAAGACCGGUGCCAGCCGCCGCGGUAACACCGGCGGCUCGAGUGGUAACCGUUAUUAUUGGGUCUAAAGGGUCUGUAGCCGGCCGGAUAAGUCUCUUGAGAAAUCUGGCAGCUUAACUGUCAGGCUUUCAGGAGAUACUGUCUGGCUCGAGGCCGGGAGAGGUGAGAGGUACUUCAGGGCUAGGGGUGAAAUCUUGUAAUCCUUGAAGGACCACCAGUGGCGAAGGCGUCUCACCAGAACGGACCUGACGGCAAGGGACGAAAGCUAGGGGCACGAACCGGAUUAGAUACCCGGGUAGUCCUAGCCGUAAACGAUACUCGCUAGGUGUCGGCCACGGUGCGACCGUUGUCGGUGCCGUAGGGAAGCCGUGAAGCGAGCCACCUGGGAAGUACGGCCGCAAGGCUGAAACUUAAAGGAAUUGGCGGGGGAGCAC
rnacentral:rRNA from 1 species